rnacentral:rRNA from 1 species
UGGGGAAUUUUGGACAAUGGGCGAAAGCCUGAUCCAGCAAUGCCGCGUGUGUGAAGAAGGCCUUCGGGUUGUAAAGCACUUUUGUCCGGAAAGAAAUCCUUGGCUCUAAUACAGUCGGGGGAUGACGGUACCGGAAGAAUAAGCACCGGCUAACUACGUGCCAGCAGCCGCGGUAAUACGUAGGGUGCAAGCGUUAAUCGGAAUUACUGGGCGUAAAGCGUGCGCAGGCGGUUUGCUAAGACCGAUGUGAAAUCCCCGGGCUCAACCUGGGAACUGCAUUUGGUGACUGGCAGGCUAGAGUAUGGCAGAGGGGGGUUAGAAUUCCACGUGUAGCAGUGAAAUGCGUAGAGAUGUGGAGGAAUACCGAUGGCGAAGGCAGCCCCCCUGGGCCAAUACUGACGCUCAUGCACGAAAAGCGUGGGGAGCAAAACAGGAUUAGAUACCCUGGUAGUCCACGCCCUAAAACGAUGUCAACUAGUUGUUGGGGAUUCAUUUCUAGUAACGUAGCUAACGCGUGAAGUUGACCGCCUGGGGAGUACGGUCGCAAGAUU